GCCGAAGUGGCGGAAUUGGCAGACGCGCUACGUUCAGGGCGUAGUGAGGGUUCCCUCAUCCGGGUUCAAGUCCCGGCUUCGGCA
rnacentral:tRNA from 2 species